GAUCCGUGAUCGCCGUCGUCCCCGCGCGAUCCAACUGUGAUCCCACCUCGCCUGGAUGCGCAACAACCCCACGCCCCACCCGGCGAUACGGUAGCCGACACCUCUACCCCGGGUCGUGCCCGUCCCCUCCCCUCCCCCAUCCCAGUGAUACGGUAGCCCGCCAGCCUCGCGUCCCGCCGUCACCCGUUCACUUCCUCUCCCUGCCGCCACAGCUCGCGCAACCCCCAUCUCACCCUCUUCCUUCCUGCCACACCAUCGCUACCACCGCCCGCCCUGAGAGGGCCCGGCGUCAUGGACCCCCUCAAGAAGAUGAUGGCGCGGGGAGUGUUCUCGGACCUACAGAACUUCUCCGGCCAUAUGGAGCACCUGGUCAGCGCCGACGACCUCAAUCGCAUGGCUCGACGAUUGAGAAGUUCAGAGAUACACUUGCGAAGCACAGACUUCUGACACCAACGACACCAUUGGCAAGGCAGGGAUCUGAUGAUAUGUCCUUGGUGUCAUCCGUGAUAUAAACCACUUCCUUUAGUCAUGUGUUAUUCUUCAUUGUUAUUCAUGUGUACAAUUUGUUCCUUUCCAUUGUCACAGAGUUCAGGUUUUCAGAUUUUUUUGCCUGUGAAGUCUACCCACGCUGCCUCGCUCUUGUUCUUUAUAAUGAGAUGAAAUUGUAUGGUGGCUUUCGAGUGAGAUGAAAUGUAUGGUGGCUUUGGGAGUGACUCA